rnacentral:rRNA from 1 species
AUUGAACGCUGGCGGCGUGCCUAACACAUGCAAGUCGAGCGGUAACAGGUGUAGCAAUACAUGCUGACGAGCGGCGGACGGGUGAGUAACGCUUGGGAAUCUGCCUGUUAGUGGGGGACAACCCGGGGAAACUCGGGCUAAUACCGCAUACGCACUACGGUGGAAAGCCGGGGACCGCAAGGCCUGGCGCUAACAGAUGAGCCCAAGUCGGAUUAGCUAGUUGGUAGGGUAACGGCCUACCAAGGCGACGAUCCGUAACUGGUCUGAGAGGACGACCAGUCACACCGGAACUGAGACACGGUCCGGACUCCUACGGGAGGCAGCAGUGGGGAAUAUUGGACAAUGGGCGAAAGCCUGAUCCAGCGACGCCGCGUGGGUGAAGAAGGCCUGCGGGUUGUAAAGCCCUUUCGGUGGGGAAGAAAAGCCUCGAGUUAAUACCUCGGGGUCUUGACGUAACCCAUAGAAGAAGCACCGGCUAAC